UCUAAGGCUAGACUAAUACUUGAUCUUAGUUUGAACAAGGCAAAUUUAGACUCGGCGCAAGCAGAUCAGGGCUAAAGCGGGUUUCCUGCUUGGGCCCGGUUUGAAUUGGUCUUCGUUUAUGCAACCGGUCCUAAAAGACUCGAAAAGAAUCGCAUAUUUCUCGUACUUGUCCUUUUAUUUUGGAAUGAUUAAAAAUGUCAUCAAAAUCAUCUUCAAUGCCAUCAUCCCUAUGUUAAAUGCCACCAUAAAAAUUAUCAAGUACUUCCAUGGUCAGUGGCUAUCAAUAGGGAAUUCACGAUUUCAAAGGGCCCAAUCUAUAACUCAAUAUGUUAGAAAAAUAUAUAUUUUUAUACUGUUUGAGUUUCGAAAUUUGAAGUUCUCUAUCA
rnacentral:lncRNA from 1 species